rnacentral:lncRNA from 1 species
GUCCUGGAGGCCCGGCGGGGAGCGGGGCGAUUUCGAAAGGAAGGACUGCAGCGCCCCUCGGGGCUUCUCGGGGAGCCCAGGAGGAAAGAGCUCAAUGCGGAAUCACAUAGGCAAAGGCUCUGAUUAUUUUCCUUGCAAUCGAAGACAAAAGCCGCCAUGUUUAUUAAAAUGAAAGUCGUAUUUUUACUCUUCCCUGGAAAGAAGUAUGUGCAACCAGACCAUCCCACCAAAGUCCUUCUAGGUAUGAAAUAUAUUCAUGAUUCUGUCUCAAAAUAUGAAAUCAAAAGUUAGCAUUAUAACUCCCAGCUAACUGUCAUAUUAAUUCAUCUGGAUGAACCUUGUGGUACUGAACUUUGACAAUGCUCAGGGUGUCAAAGCAAACACCUGCCCCACCCCACGCCUACCCCAAAAACAAACGAGAGGCUUUUAUAGGUUGCAAGUCCUGGUCUGGUUUAUUUAUAAAGCAAUAAAU